rnacentral:rRNA from 1 species
UACGUAGGGUGCGAGCGUUGUCCGGAAUUAUUGGGCGUAAAGAGCUUGUAGGCGGUCUGUCGCGUCUGCUGUGAAAAUCCGGGGCUCAACCCCGGACUUGCAGUGGGUACGGGCAGACUAGAGUGUGGUAGGGGAGACUGGAAUUCCUGGUGUAGCGGUGAAAUGCGCAGAUAUCAGGAGGAACACCGAUGGCGAAGGCAGGUCUCUGGGCCACUACUGACGCUGAGAAGCGGAAAGCAUGGGGAGCGAACAG